UCCCUAAACCGAUUGAUGAUAUAC
rnacentral:siRNA from 1 species